rnacentral:rRNA from 1 species
CUGGCUCGAUUGAACGCUGGCGGGAUGCUUAUUACGCAAGUCGAACGGGCAGCACGGACUUCGGUCUGCGGCGAGUGGCGAACGGGUGAGUAAUGUAUCGGAACGUGCCUAGUAGCGGGGGAUAACUACGCGAAAGCGUAGCUAAUACCGCAUACGCCCUUCGGGCGGGGACCUCGGGCCUCGCACUAUUAGAGCGGCCGAUAUCGGAUUAGCUAGUUGGUGGGGUAACGGCUCACCAAGGCGACGAUCCGUAGCUGGUUGGUGAGAUCACCAGCCACACUGGGACUGAGACACGGCCCAGACUCCUACGGGAGGCAAGGUGGGGAAUUUUUGGAUAAUGGGAAACCCCUGAUCCAGCCAUCCCGCGUGUGCGAUGAAGGCUCUCGGGUUGUAAAGCACUUUUGGCAGGAGAAGAAAACGGCACGGGAUAAUACCCCGUGCAACUGACGGUACCUGCAGAAUAAGCACCGGCUAACACGCCAGCAGCCGCGGUAAUACGUAGGGGUGCAAGCGUUAAUCGGAAUUACUAAGGAAGCGUGCGCAGGCGGUUCGAGAAAGAUGUGAAAUCCCAGAGCUUAACUUUGGAACUGCAUUUUUAACUACCGAGCUAGAGUGUGUCAGAGGGAGGUGGAAUUCGCGUGUAGCAGUGAAAUGCGUAGAUAUGCGGAGGAACACCGAUGGCGAAGGCAGCCUCCUGGGAUAACACUGACGCUCAUGCACGAAAGCGGGGAGCAAACAGGAUUAGAUACCCUGGUAGUCCACGCCCUAAACGAUGUCAACUAGCUGUUGGGGCCUUCUGGCCUUGGUAGCGCAGCUAACGGGUGUGAAGUUGACCGCCUGGGGAGUACGGUCGCAAGAUUAAACUCAAAGGAAUUGACGGGGACCCACGCGGUGGAUGGUGUGGAUUACUCGAUGCACAAACCUGCCCACCUUUGACAUAAAGCUCCGAACCCGAGAGAUUGGGAGUGCUGCGGAGAACCGGAACCACAGCCGGCAUGAUGUCAUCAAAGCUUGAGAUGUUAGUUGUCUCCGCUGCACGAAAACCCUUUGUCACAUUGCUACGAAAGAGCACCUAACGAGACUGCCGCACAACCGGAGGAAGGUGGGAUGACGUCAAGUCCUCAUGGCCCUUAUGGGUAGGGCUUCACACGUCAUACAAUGGUCGGGACAGAGGGUCGCCAACCCGCGAGGGGAGCCAAUCCCAGAAACCCGAUCGUAGUCCGGAUCGCAGUCUGCAACUCGGACUGCGUGAAGUCGGAAUCGCUAGUAAUCGCGGGAUCAGCAUGUCGCGGUGAAUACGUUCCCGGGUCUUGUACACACCGCCCGUCACACCAUGGGAGUGGGUUUUAACAGAAGUGGCCUAACCGUAAGGGAGGGCGAUUACCACGGUAGGAUUCAUGACUGGGGUGAAGUCGUAACAAGGUAA